CUGGAAGCGGAGCUCCGCGCUGGGACUGGUUCCUUCGCAGCCAUUUUCUGUCCAACCAAACAGCCGAUUGGAGACGGGAGCCAACCAGGGCUGCAUUGGAGGUUGAGAUCACAAAUAUUAGACACCUUUUUAGAUAGGUGUUCUUCAGCAUCACUGACAACACGGUUCUGACAGUAUUUCAUGACAGUUAUGUAACAUUUGUCCUGCAAGCUGAGGACAGAGACCUUGUCUGUUGUUGACAGCUACGUGACCAGCACAUAGCAUGGACCUGGUAAAUACUAAGCGCUCACUCAGUAAAUAUUUGUUGGCUGGCUUACUGAUAAUCUACAGUCUGUUUUAUAAAUUUUUAUAGGAUGUUUUAGACCUAGAAAAAACCUUUGGGAUGCAUCUAGCAAGUUUUUUUCCAUCAUUAUAGGCAAAUGGCUGGCAUAUUCUAAGCAUCAAAGAUUAGGUUGACUUAUUGAGUGAAAGGUACUAAGUGCCAUAGAGCUUUAAAGAACAGAACAUUUGUUUUUGAAUUGCAGAAAGGAUAAAUCAGAAAGAUUAAAGGAGGAUAGAGAACACUGGGAUUAAAGUCUGGGGCAGGAUUUUAAUGGUAGAAAGAUAGAGGAAAGGAAGACAGAAGGUGUGAAAUGAUAGAAAGCUAAAACUUGCGGAACCGAAGACACAUACAGUUAAGCAGAUGAUGUGCGGCUUCUCUUCAAAGGAGGGAGGAUGAGAUCGAAUGUCUAUGGGGUACACUACGUGCCAAACACUGUCUUUAGCAGCUUUCUAGUCUUUAUUUAAUUCUGACAACUCUAGGAAAUACUUUUAUCUUCACUUUUAGAAGACUGAGGUUUAGAGAGGCUAAUGCUGUUAGUCCAAAUGAUAAUCUUGUUGCUAAUUC
rnacentral:sRNA from 1 species